CGUGUAGGCGGUUCUUCAAGUCUGAUGUGAAAGCCCUGGGCUCAACCCAGGAAGUGCAUCGGAAACUGGCGAACUUGAGUACGGGAGAGGAAAGUGGAAUUUCGAGUGUAGGGGUGAAAUCCGUAGAUAUUCGAAGGAACACCAGUGGCGAAGGCGGCUUUCUGGACCGAUACUGACGCUGAGACGCGAAAGCGUGGGGAGCAAACAGGAUUAGAUACCCUGGUAGUCC
rnacentral:rRNA from 1 species